UACGGAGGGGGCGAGCGUUAUUCGGAAUCAUUGGGCGUAAAGGGCGCGUAGGCGGCCGGGCAAGUCAGGGGUGAAAUCCCUCGGCUCAACCGAGGAAUUGCCUCUGAAACUGCCCAGCUUGAGGCCGGGAGAGGGUAGUGGAAUUCCAAGUGGAGCGGUGAAAUGCGUAGAUAUUGGGAGGAACACCUGAGGCGAAGGCGGGAAACUGGACCGGUUCUGACGCUGAGGCACGAAAGCGUGGGGAGUAAACAGG
rnacentral:rRNA from 1 species